rnacentral:rRNA from 1 species
AUACGGAAGGCCCGGGCGUUAUCCGGAUUUAUUGGGUUUAAAGGGAGCGCAGGCGGAGAUGCAAGCGUGACGUCAAAUUUCGGGGCUCAACCCCGUCUCGCGUCGCGAACUGCGUCCCUUGGUUGCGGGAAGGGGAGGCGGAACUCGUGGUGUAGCGGGGGAAUGCAUAGAUAUCACGAAGAACUCCGAUCGCGAAGGCAGCCUUCCGGCCCGUCAACGACGCUCAUGCUCGAAGGUGCGGGUAUCAAACAGGAUUAGAUACCCUGGUAGUCCGCACAGUAAACGAUGGACACCCGCGGUUUGGCCUGUAUGGCUGAGCCGCCAAGCGAAAGCGUUAAGUGUCCCACCUGGGGAGUACGCCGGCAACGGUGAAACUCAAAGGAAUUGACGGGG